AUUGAACGCUGGCGGCAGGCCUAACACAUGCAAGUCGAGCGGAUGAAGGGAGCUUGCUCCUGGAUUCAGCGGCGGACGGGUGAGUAAUGCCUAGGAAUCUGCCUGGUAGUGGGGGAUAACGUCCGGAAACGGGCGCUAAUACCGCAUACGUCCUGAGGGAGAAAGUGGGGGAUCUUCGGACCUCACGCUAUCAGAUGAGCCUAGGUCGGAUUAGCUAGUUGGUGGGGUAAAGGCCUACCAAGGCGACGAUCCGUAACUGGUCCGAGAGGAUGAUCAGUCACACUGGAACCGAGACACGGUCCAGACUCCUACGGGAGGCAGCAGUGGGGAAUAUUGGACAAUGGGCGAAAGCCUGAUCCAGCCAUGCCGCGUGUGUGAAGAAGGUCUUCGGAUUGUAAAGCACUUUAAGUUGGGAGGAAGGGCAGUAAGUUAAUACCUUGCUGUUUUGACGUUACCAACAGAAUAAGCACCGGCUAACUUCGUG
rnacentral:rRNA from 1 species